UACAGAGGUCUCAAGCGUUGUUCGGAUUCAUUGGGCGUAAAGGGUGUGUAGGUGGCGCGCUAAGUCGGGUGUGAAAUUUCGGAGCUUAACUCCGAAACUGCAUUCGAUACUGGCGUGCUUAAGGACUGGAGAGGAGACUGGAAUUCAUGGUGUAGCAGUGAAAUGCGUAGAUAUCGUAAGGAAGACCAGUGGCGAAGGCGGGUCUCUGGACAGUUCCUGACGCUGAGGCACGAAGGCCAGGGGAGCAAACGGG
rnacentral:rRNA from 1 species